rnacentral:lncRNA from 1 species
CCCUACUCUAAUAAUGUUUUGAUAUCUGGAGCUCAUAGGUGGGAGACAGCUAAUACAUACUUACAAGACAUUUAUUGCAUAGUCAAACCAUGGAUCCAGAAGAACAAGUCAAUAAGUCAAAUCAAGAUGUGUAUGUGUGGCGAAUGAAUGGUGAUAAUGGUUAAAAUAAUGGUGAAAGUCUAAUUCUCCUUGUGCUCUUUUGAGGGGAUACAUACCUUUCUUGCUCUUUUGAAACUUUUUGAGGAGAAUGAGAUGCUCUAUAUUUUCUUUUUCUUUUCUCUCAGGUAGGUAUCUUGUACCCCUAAUUCUACUGU